UACGGAGGGUGCUAGCGUUGUUCGGAAUUACUGGGCGUAAAGGGCGCGUAGGCGGCCGAUCAAGUCAGAUGUGAAAGUCCUGGGCUUAACCUGGGGACUGCAUUUGAUACUGAUUGGCUUGAAUGCAGGAGAGGAUAGCGGAAUUCCCAGUGUAGAGGUGAAAUGCGUAGAUAUCUGGAGGAACAUCAGUGGCGAAGGCGACACCCUGGACUCAUACUGACACUGAGGUGCGAAAGCGUGGGGAGCGAUCCGG
rnacentral:rRNA from 1 species